rnacentral:rRNA from 1 species
UACGGAGGGGGCAAGCGUUAAUCGGAAUUACUGGGCGUAAAGCGUGCGCAGGCGGCCCGUUAAGACAGGUGUGAAAUCCCUGGGCUCAACCUAGGAAUUGCGCUUGUGACUGGCGGGCUCGAGUACGGUAGAGGGGGGUGGAAUUCCUGGUGUAGCAGUGAAAUGCGUAGAGAUCAGGAGGAACACCGAUGGCGAAGGCAGCCCCCUGGGCCUGUACUGACGCUCAUGCACGAAAGCGUGGGGAGCAAACAGG